CGCGGCUGAGGGGACGGUACCGCGAGGGGUGAGGUAACUGCGCCCAAAGCCGCCGCAGGCCUCAGCCCGCCUCUGAGGAGGGGAAACCCGGCGAGCGGCUUGGCCCCGCUUUGUGUGCGGUUAGAGCGUGGUCGGUGUACAGACAGUAUGUUGGAGCAGGAGUCAGCCGCUGGGCCUUAACGGGAACCACGUGCAGACACUGGCGCCCUUCCAUCUCCUGACCUCUGCAGGUUUGUGUUGGGCAGAAGGUAGACUUUGAAUGAAUCAAGAUGAAUCUGGCUGUGGGAAGUGACUGGUCGGAACUUCCUAUGGCUCAGGGAGCUGUGUGAUGCAGUAUGCUGCUGAUUAAUAAUUUCUUAACUGGAAUUGGAAUACAAGAGAAGGCCUCUUGAAAGGAAGACUGACUGGACCCUUUGUUCUUCUGAAAGCAAUGCAUUCUGGCUGAAAGCAGUUCCAGAAGGUUUAUUGUGCAUGCAGCUUGAGUUCAAAAGGCUGUACUCAUUUCUGGGAGGAAUCAAUUAUUAGAUCUUGGUGAAAUUUCUCAUGUGGCCUCCUUCCUACCUUGAGAAAGAAAAUAAAAUCUUUAAAGUCAAAA